rnacentral:rRNA from 1 species
GACGAACGCUGGCGGCGUGCCUAAUACAUGCAAGUCGAACGCAGUUGGGACGGGUGAGUAACACGUGGGUAACCUCCCAUCAGAGGGGAUAACACUUGGAAACAGGUGCUAAACCGAUACUGAUGGAUGGUCCCGCGGUGCAUUAGCUAGUUGGUGAGGUAACGGGUGAACAAGGCCACGAUGCAUAGCCGACCAGACGGGGUGAUCGGGCGCACUGGGACUGAGACACGGCCCAGACGCCUACGCGAGGAAGCAGUAGGGAAUCGUCGGCAAUGGAUGAAAGGGUGACCGAGCAAUGCCGCGUGAGUGAAGAAGGUUUUCGGAUCGUAAAUCUCUGUUGUUAGAGAAGGGGUAUCUGAACAGAAAGCCACGGCUAACUACGUGCCAGCAGCCGCGGUAAUAC